GAUGAACGCUGGCGGCGUGCCUAAUACAUGCAAGUCGAGCGAACGGACGAGAAGCUUGCUUCUCUGAUGUUAGCGGCGGACGGGUGAGUAACACGUGGAUAACCUACCUAUAAGACUGGUAUAACUUCGGAAAACCGGAUCUUAUACCGGAUAAUAUUUUGAACCGCAUUGUUCGAAAGUGAAAGACGGUCUUGCUGUCACUUAUAGCUGGCUACGCGCUGCAUUAGCUAGUUGGUAAGGUAACGGCUUACCAAGGCUACGAUGCAUAGCCGACCUGAGAGGGUGAUCGGCUACACUGGAAGUGAGACACGGUCCAGACUCCUACGGUAGGCCGCAGUAGGGAAUCUUACGCAAUGGGGGAGAGCCUGACGGAGCAACGCCGCGUGAGUGAUGAAGGUCUUCGGAUCGGAAAACUCUGUUAUUAGUGAAGAACAUAUGUGUAAGUAACUGUGCACAUCUUGACGGUACCGAAUCAGAAAGCCACGGCUAACUACGUG
rnacentral:rRNA from 1 species